GACGAACGCUGGCGGCGUGCUUAACACAUGCAAGUCGAACGGAAAGGCCUCUUUCGGGGGGUACUCGAGUGGCGAACGGGUGAGUAACACGUGAGUAACCUGCCCUUGACUUUGGGAUAACUUCGGGAAACUGGGGCUAAUACCGGAUAGGAGCUCCUGCUGCAUGGUGGGGGUUGGAAAGUUUCGGCGGUUGGGGAUGGACUCGCGGCUUAUCAGCUUGUUGGUGGGGUAGUGGCUUACCAAGGCUUUGACGGGUAGCCGGCCUGAGAGGGUGACCGGCCACAUUGGGACUGAGAUGCGGCCCAGACUCCUACGGGAGGCAGCAGGGGGGAAUAUUGCACAAUGGGUGGAAGCCUGAUGCAGCAACGCCGUGUGCGGGAUGACGGCCUUCGUGUUGUAAACCGCUUUCGCUCAUGACGAAGCUUUGUGUGACGGUAGUGGGUAAAGAAGCACCGGCUAACUACGUG
rnacentral:rRNA from 1 species